rnacentral:rRNA from 1 species
GACGAACGCUGGUGGCGUGCCUAAUACAUGCAAGUCGAGCGAAGCGGGGACGGGUUAGUAACACGUGGAUAACCUCCUAUAUGACUGGGCUAACUUCGGGAAACCGGAGCUAAACCGGAUACGGAUAGAUGGAUCCGCUCUGCAUUAGCUAGUUGGUAAGGUAACGGCUUACAAAGGCAACGAUGCAUAGCCGACCUGAGAGGCUGAUCGGCCACACUGGAACUGAGCCACGGUCCAAACUCCUACGAGAGGCAGCAGUAGGGAAUCUUCCGCAAUGGGCGAAAGCCUGACGGAGCAACGCCGCGUGAGUGAUGAAGGUCUUCGGAUCGUAAAACUCUGUUAUUGGGGAAGCGGUACCUAAUCAGAAAGCCACGGCUAACUACGUGCCAGCAGCCGCGGUAAUUC